GAUGAACGCUGGCGGCGUGCCUAAUACAUGCCAGUCGAGCGAACAGACGAGGAGCUUGCUCCUCUGACGUUAGCGGCGGACGGGUGAGUAACACGUGGAUAACCUACCUAUAAGACUGGGAUAACUUCGGGAAACCGGAGCUAAUACCGGAUAACAUGUUGAACCGCAUGGUUCAACAGUGAAAGACGGUUUUGCUGUCACUUAUAGAUGGAUCCGCGUCGCAUUAGCUAGUUGGUAAGGUAACGGCUUACCAAGGCAACGAUGCGUAGCCGACCUGAGAGGGUGAUCGGCCACCCUGGAACUGGGACACGGUCCCGACUCCUACGGGAGGCAGCAGUAGGGAAUCUUCCGCAAUGGGCGAAAGCCUGACGGAGCCACGCCGCGUGAGUUAAGAAGGUCUUCGGAUCGUAAAACUCUGUUAUUAGGGAAGAACAAAUGUGUAAGUAACUAUGCACGUCUUGACGGUACCUAAUCAGAAAGCCACGGCUAACUACGUG
rnacentral:rRNA from 1 species